rnacentral:rRNA from 1 species
AACGAACGCUGGCGGCAUGCCUAACACAUGCAAGUCGAACGAGACCUUCGGGUCUAGCGGCGCACGGGUGCGUAACGCGUGGGAACCUGCCCUUAGGCUCGGAAUAACUCCCCGAAAGGGGUGCUAAUACCGGAUAAUGUCUUCGGACCAAAGAUUUAUCGCCUUUGGAUGGGCCCGCGUUGGAUUAGCUAGUUGGUAGGGUAAAAGCCUACCAAGGCGACGAUCCAUAGCUGGUCUGAGAGGAUGAUCAGCCACACUGGGACUGAGACACGGCCCAGACUCCUACGGGAGGGAGCAGUGGGGAAUAUUGGACAAUGGGCGGAAGCCUGAUCCAGCAAUGCCGCGUGAGUGAUGAAGGCCUUAGGGUUGUAAAGCUCUUUUACCCGGGAUGAUAAUGACAGUACCGGGAGAAUAAGCUCCGGCUAACUCCGUG